GUUCCACCAACUGGGGACCAAUCACUCAAAUAUACGAGCUUAUGGAGGCCAUUCUCACAUAAACUAUCACAAAAGAAAUACAUAGUUGAAAAAAAGUUGGACAUGAUUCUUUAACUCAAGAAUGAAGAUCAGAAAGUCUUCUCCAAGCUCCACUCCUAAAACAACCAGAGGAUCCUAUCUCUUCCUGUGCCUUUGCUGGAACUUCAAGUACAAUAUUGAAGAGAUAUGGAGAGUUGACAGUCUUGUCUUGUUCCUGAUUUUAGAGGAAUCUCUUCCUCUCCUGGUGGGUACUGGUCCAAGGUUCCCUUCUGGUGGAUGCAGGCAUGUCCAAUACUCUGAUGGCUCUCCUCUUCCCGUGGGUGGAGGCAGAACUAGUAUUGGGGCCUUGGAAGUCUCUGGGUGGGCUGGACCACCGGGAUGGGACCCCCAGUGGGCAGUGCCCAGACCUCAGGCGCCUCUGAGCCGGGCACAGAAGGUGGGCCAGAAACAGGCCCAGGCUAACUUCGUACCAUGGGCAGAGAAAGGGAUUAGGAUGCUGGCAGUUUGUGGGUGGGCUGGACCGCCAGGAUGGGAUCCCCAGUGCCACAAAAUUAUUAAAGUAAAUUAAAAUAACCAAAGAAGAUCUGAGUAAAAAAAUGCAAUGUUGCUUCUGAAGUAGUUACUGCACA
rnacentral:lncRNA from 1 species